rnacentral:rRNA from 1 species
UACGGAGGAUGCGAGCGUUAUCCGGAUUUAUUGGGUUUAAAGGGUGCGUAGGCGGAUUUUUAAGUCAGCGGUAAAAUGUCCGGGCUCAACCCGGGCCGGCCGUUGAAACUGGGGAUCUUGAGUGGGCGAGAAGUAUGCGGAAUGCGUGGUGUAGCGGUGAAAUGCAUAGAUAUCACGCAGAACUCCGAUUGCGAAGGCAGCAUACCGGCGCUCAACUGACGCUCAUGCACGAAAGUGUGGUGUCGUGAACAGG